UCCCAGACUCCUACGGGAGGCAGCAGUGGGGGAUAUUGCACAAUGGGGGGAACCCUGAUGCAGCGACGCCGCGUGGGUGAAGGAGCGUUUCGGCGCGUAAAGCCCUAUCGGCAGGGAAGAAGGAGGACGGUACCUGACUAAGAAGCCCCGGCUAACUACGUGCCAGCAGCCGCGGUAAUACGUAGGGGGCAAGCGUUAUCCGGAUUUACUGGGUGUAAAGGGAGCGUAGACGGCGACGCAAGUCUGGAGUGAAAGCCCGGGGCCCAACCCCGGGACUGCUCUGGAAACUGCGGCGUUGGAGUACGGGAGGGGCAGGCGGAAUUCCUGGUGUAGCGGUGAAAUGCGUAGAUAUCAGGAGGAACACCGGCGGCGAAGGCGACUUUCUGGACUGUAACUGACGUUGAGGCACGAAAGUGUGGGGAGCAAACAGGAUUAGAUACCCCAGUA
rnacentral:rRNA from 1 species